rnacentral:rRNA from 1 species
UACGGGAGGCAGCAGUGGGGAAUAUUGCACAAUGGGCGAAAGCCUGAUGCAGCUAUGCCGCGUGUAUGAAGAAGGCCUUAGGGUUGUAAAGUACUUUCAGCGGGGAGGAAGGCGAUGUGGUUAAUAACCGCGUCGAUUGACGUUACCCGCAGAAGAAGCACCGGCUAACUCCGUGCCAGCAGCCGCGGUAAUACGGAGGGUGCAAGCGUUAAUCGGAAUUACUGGGCGUAAAGCGCACGCAGGCGGUCUGUUAAGUCAGAUGUGAAAUCCCCGGGCUUAACCUGGGAACUGCAUUUUGAAACUGGCAGGCUUGAGUCUCGUAGAGGGGGUUAGAAUUCCAGGUGUAGCGGUGAAAUGCGUAGAGAUCUGGAGGAAUACCGGUGGCGAAGGCGGCCCCUGGGACGAAGGACUGACGCUCAGGGUGCGAAAGCGUGGGGAGCAAACGAGGAUUAGAUACC